UCACUAAUUAGACAGUGACAGAUUGCUGCAUUAAAUGAAUCUGAUCAGUUCCUCAUGUCUGCUGCUUUUGCGAUCAUUUUCACGCAAUAUACAUCGGAGGAACAUGCACCCAUUUAUCUCGCGUCUUUACACUGAGGGAUCCUCUCAGACUACAGUGGAGCUGUCUAAAGCCCAACUACAGAAACUCGGUUGCAUUCGGUUCAUAGGAAGUUUGCAAUUGUUCCAGAAAAUUCAGAGUUCCAGGAACAGCAUCAUGUACAGUU